GAUGAACGCUGGCGGCGUGCCUAAUACAUGCAAGUCGAGCGAACAGACGAGGAGCUUGCUCCUCUGACGUUAGCGGCGGACGGGUGAGUAACACGUGGAUAACCUACCUAUAAGACUGGGAUAACUUCGGGAAACCGGAGCUAAUACCGGAUAAUAUAUUGAACCGCAUGGUUCAAUAGUGAAAGACGGUUUUGCUGUCACUUAUAGAUGGAUCCGCGCCGCAUUAGCUAGUUGGUAAGGUAACGGCUUACCAAGGCAACGAUGCGUAGCCGACCUGAGAGGGUGAUCGGCCACACUGGAACUGAGGCACGGUCCAGACUCCUACGGGAGGCAGCAGUAGGGAAUCUUCCGCAAUGGGCGAAAGCCUGACGGAGCAACGCCGCGUGAGUGAUGAAGUUCUUCGGAUCGUAAAACUCUGUUAUUAGGGAAGAACAAAUGUGUAAGUAACUAUGCACGUCUUGACGGUACCUAAUCAGAAAGCCACGGCUAACUACGUG
rnacentral:rRNA from 1 species